GACGAGUAUCACUAACGUUAUUCGGAAUUACUGGGCUUAAAGGGUGCGUAGGCGGUGCGGAAAGUUGGGUGUGAAAUCCCUCGGCUCAACCGAGGAACUGCGCCCAAAACUACCGUACUUGAGGAAGAUAGAGGUGAGCGGAACUUACGGUGGAGCGGUGAAAUGCGUUGAUAUCGUAAGGAACACCCGUGGCGAAAGCGGCUCACUGGGUCUUAUCUGACGCUGAUGCACGAAAGCGAGGGGAGCAAACAGG
rnacentral:rRNA from 1 species